UUUUGGCAGUUAUUCUCCCUGGAAUCGGCCCAAAAGUUCCUCCAUGGAUCAUUUCACUAAACCUAUUAAGAACUCUGCUAGUAAAUCAUAAUAAAAAGAUGUGAAUUCCUUAUUAAUCCCUCUACUAGCAGCAUAUUUUUUUGUACAAUAAAAAUAUUUAAAUCGCGAUGACUUUUUUUGUUUUUUGAUACACUGGCACCAUUUUUUCAUUGACCCAAUCAAAUUUUCAUACGUAUCUCUUAUAUUGUACGAAUACCAUCAAAUCAGGCCUGACCAACCUCUUUCAACCGUAGGUGAAAUUUCUGAACCAUUUUUGUGUGUGGCGGGCCAUACUAUUUGAUGUACAAAUAUUCGUAUGAAAUCUCGCAAAAAUCAGAAAAUGAAGGAAAUAAUUUCAGAAAAAAAUGAAAGAAUAUAAUUGCUGCUCAGCAUCAUGCUAGAUAUUGUGAUAGUCUUUUUUGAAAUUAUGCAAUAAUCUUGCCCAGGUUAUUUUUUAAAAACCUAAGUCAGAUUUAAGAGCAGAACAGCUGGAGACAUUAAAAUACUAAUGGACAAUAAUUUAAAUUUAGCUGUGAAAAAAAAAUAUUAAUUUGAAACUACACUGAGAAUAAUCCACAGCUAGUUUCUAUGUGCCGCAAACAUAUUUUUGCAAUCAAGCUGUGCAUUUGCAUUUUAACAGUUCCGCACUUCCUUUCGAUUAUUACUAAUAUAAUAUAUGUGCUACUGCACAUAUUUUCUACCUAACUGGUAGAUUUUAUAUGCAAUCUUCUAGGAGGAGUGUAUAUGUGCGCACUGUUAGAAGUUAUCUACAAAAAACAUAUGGAUGUUUAACAAUGAUAUUACGUGCGGAUUAUUUUAGGUGUAGGACUUUGAAUAAUUUAUGUUUUUGAGUAGAUUAGUAAAAAUAAUUUAAAUAAUUACCGAGCUGAAAUCUAAAACAAUUGGUAUGUUCUUACUCGAAGUAAGUGGUUGUGGUCUACUGGCCAAUACGUUUGAGAAGAAUCUUCAAACCCACCGCUUUCCGGACGUUUGACAGUCCUGCAUUAAAUAAAUGACCAGGUGAUAUUUUAUU